AAAUCUCAACCUUCUCGGUUUUCUUCUGGACACCGAAGGAGGCUUGGACUUUGGAGGCCUUUGCUGGCGUCUCUCUAGAGCCAGCUCCUCUUAAAUGAAUUAGCGGGGUCCUCUUUGCCGAUCCUUGACAUGUGAUAAGAUGUUUCCAUGACUCGGUUUCUGGCUCUGUUGCAUUUGGGACCUGCUUCUAACCGUCUCGACGAGACGACGUUUGGGCGUGUCUCCCUUCUCGGGAGACUCUCUCGACCCCACGAAC
rnacentral:misc_RNA from 1 species